rnacentral:rRNA from 1 species
UACGUAGGGUGCGAGCGUUAAUCGGAAUUACUGGGCGUAAAGCGUGCGUAGGCGGUUCGCUGUGUCCGAUGUGAAAGCCCCGGGCUUAACCCUGGGAAUGGCAUUGGAAACUGGCGGGCUUGAGUGUGGCAGAGGGGGGUGGAAUCCGGCGUGUAGCAGUGAAAUGCGUAGAGAUGCGGAGGAACACCGAUGGCGAAGGC